rnacentral:rRNA from 1 species
CCUACGGGUGGCAGCAGUGAGGAAUAUUGGUCAAUGGCCGGAAGCCUGAACCAGCCAUGCCGCGUGAAGGUCAGUGCCCUAUGGGCGUUAAACUUCUUUUUUGCGGGAGCAAUAUUGCUCACCUGUGGCCAGACGCGAGUACCUUAUGAAUAAGGAUCGGCUAACUCCGUGCCAGCCGCCGCGGUAAUACGGAGGAUCCGGGCGUUAUCCGGAUUUUUUGGGGUUAAAGGGGGCGGAGGCGGGAAUUCACGUCUGCGGGGAAAGUCUGUGGCUCAAACCUUGGAUUGCCGUUGAAACUGGGGGUCUUGAGUGUGUGUGAGGUAUGCGGAAUGCGUGGUGUAGCGGUGAAAUGCAUAGAUAUCACGCAGAACCCCGAUUGCGGAGGCAGCCUGCC